AUCCUGGCUCAGAUUGAACGCUGGCGGAAUGCUUUACACAUGCAAGUCGAACGGCAGCACGGACUUCGGUCUGGUGGCGAGUGGCGAACGGGUGAGUAAUAUAUCGGAACGUGCCCAGUCGUGGGGGAUAACGUAGUGAAAAUUACGCUAAUACCGCAUACGAUCUAAGGAUGAAAGCGGGGGAUCGCAAGACCUCGCGCGAUUGGAGCGGCCGAUAUCAGAUUAGGUAGUUGGUGAGGUAAAGGCUCACCAAGCCAACGAUCUGUAGCUGGUCUGAGAGGACGACCAGCCACACUGGAACUGAGACACGGUCCAGACUCCUACGGGAGGCAGCAGUGGGGAAUUUUGGACAAUGGACGCAAGUCUGAUCCAGCCAUUCCGCGUGCAGGACGAAGGCCUUCGGGUUGUAAACUGCUUUUGUACAGAACGAAAAGGUCUCUAUUAAUACUAGGGGCUCAUGACGGUACUGUAAGAAUAAGCACCGGCUAACUACGUG
rnacentral:rRNA from 1 species